GACGAACGCUGGCGGCGUGCCUAAUACAUGCAAGUCGAGCGCAGGAAAUCGACGGAACCCUUCGGGGGGAAGUCGACGGAAUGAGCGGCGGACGGGUGAGUAACACGUAAAGAACCUGCCCUCAGGCCUGGGAUAACCACGAGAAAUCGGGGCUAAUACCGGAUGGGUCAUCGGACCGCAUGGUCCGAGGAUGAAAGGCGCUUCGGCGUCGCCGGGGGAUGGCUUUGCGGUGCAUUAGCUAGUUGGUGGGGUAAUGGCCCACCAAGGCGACGAUGCAUAGCCGACCUGAGAGGGUGAUCGGCCACACUGGGACUGAGACACGGCCCAGACUCCUACGGGAGGCAGCAGUAGGGAAUCUUCCACAAUGGACGAAAGUCUGAUGGAGCAACGCCGCGUGAACGAUGAAGGCCUUCGGGUCGUAAAGUUCUGUUGUAAGGGAAGAACAAGUGCCGCAGGCAAUGGCGGCACCUUGACGGUACCUUGCGAGAAAGCCACGGCUAACUACGUGCCAGCAGCCGCCGUAAUAC
rnacentral:rRNA from 1 species